rnacentral:rRNA from 1 species
GUGGGGAAUAUUGGACAAUGGGCGCAAGCCUGAUCCAGCAAUGCCGCGUGAGUGAUGAAGGCCUUAGGGUUGUAAAGCUCUUUCGCACGCGACGAUGAUGACGGUAGCGUGAGAAGAAGCCCCGGCUAACUUCGUGCCAGCAGCCGCGGUAAUACGAAGGGGGCUAGCGUUGUUCGGAAUUACUGGGCGUAAAGGGCGCGUAGGCGGCCUGUUUAGUCAGAAGUGAAAGCCCCGGGCUCAACCUGGGAAUAGCUUUUGAUACUGGCAGGCUUGAGUUCCGGAGAGGAUGGUGGAAUUCCCAGUGUAGAGGUGAAAUUCGUAGAUAUUGGGAAGAACACCGGUGGCGAAGGCGGCCAUCUGGACGGACACUGACGCUGAGGCGCGAAAGCGUGGGGAGCAAACAGGAUUAGAAACCCUUGUAGUCC